rnacentral:lncRNA from 1 species
AAAAAAAAAGGAAAAAAAAAUUUAAAGAAAAAACAAACACACACCACUUUACUUAUAUUUUUUUAAAGAGAUUUUUGGCUAAAAAACUUCAAAUGCUUCUCAAAUCAAAAGAAUGACCUUUCUCCUUUAUUCUCUAAAAAAAUGAUUGAUUUAGGAUAAAAUUAGUUUUCUUUUUUCUUUUCUUUUUUUCUCAAAACGACAUUUUUUUUCCUCAUUCCCCCAUCAUUUCGUUCUCAUUCUUCCAAUGAAUUUUCCAAGUUAUUUCCUAGUGAGUUUAGGGGUGUAGUUCAAAUCGAAGAAAUGAUAAAAAUCGACCACAAUUCUCUCAUCUUUUUUUCUUCUUCAAGAUCUUUCAUCUUUUUCUUUAUUUUUAGUUAGGGUUUUUUUGUGAUUGUUUUUACCGUGUUUUUCUUUUCUUUUUAUUUGGAGUUAGUUUUUGUUGAGAUUUUGUUGUUUUUUGCAGUAUUCUUCAAGAUCUUUCAUUAUCCUUUAUAUGUGAGUGUGUGUGUUUGGUUAGUGUUUUUUAUGGUUGUUUUAUAUUUUUUUUUAUUGAGAUUUUGUAGUUAUUUUUUGUUAGCAUUUUUUGCAAUUGUAUUGUUGGGAUUUGGUUGUUGUUGUUUUUUUUUUUCAAUGUUCCUCUAGGAUUUUGGUCAGGAUUUUUCUAGUGAGAUUUUUGUUAGGAUUUUUUGAGGUUGUUCUUUAGUGGUAAUUUUUACUAUUUUUUGUUAAUU